AGUGAACGCUGGCGGUAGGCCUAACACAUGCAAGUCGAACGGCAGCACAGUAAGAGCUUGCUCUUACGGGUGGCGAGAGGCGGACGGGUGAGGAAUACAUCGGAAUCUACUUUUUCGUGGGGGAUAACGUAGGGAAACUUACGCUAAUACCGCAUACGACCUACGUGUGAAAGCAGGGGAUCUUCGGACCUUGCGCGAUUGAAUGAGCCGAUGUCGGAUUAGCUAGUUGGCGGGGUAAAGGCCCACCAAGGCGACGAUCCGUAGCUGGUCUGAGAGGAUGAUCAGCCACACUGGAACUGAGACACGGUCCAGACUCCUACGGGAGGCAGCAGUGGGGAAUAUUGGACAAUGGGCGCAAGCCUGAUCCAGCCAUACCGCGUGGGUGAAGAAGGCCUUCGGGUUGUAAAGCCCUUUUGUUGGGAAAGAAAAGCAGCAGGUUAAUACCCCGCUGUUCUGACGGUACCCAAAGAAUAAGCACCGGCUAACUUCGUG
rnacentral:rRNA from 1 species